rfam:Oryza glumipatula chromosome 9, whole genome shotgun sequence.
CUUGUUUCCGUGCCCAAACGUUUGACCGUCCGUCUUAUUUAAAAAAAUUAUAAAAAAAAUUAAAAAGACAAGUCACGCAUAAAAUAUUAAUCAUGUUUUAUCAUCUAACAACAAUAAAAAUACGAAUUAUAAAAAAAAUUCAUAUAAGACAGACAGUCAAAGUUGGACACGGAAACCCAGGAUUUGCCCUUUUU